GUACUCGCUUCAGCGGUACAUAUACUAAAAUUGGCACGAUACAGAGAAGAUUAGCAUGGCCCCUGUGC
rnacentral:snRNA from 1 species